rnacentral:rRNA from 1 species
CCUACGGGAGGCAGCAGUGGGGAAUAUUGGACAAUGGGGGGAACCCUGAUCCAGCGACGCCGCGUGAGUGAAGAAGUAUUUCGGUAUGUAAAGCUCUAUCAGUAGGGAAGAAAGAAAUGACGGUACCUGACUAAGAAGCCUCGGCUAACUACGUGCCAGCAGCCGCGGUAAUCCGUAGGGGGCAAGCGUUAUCCGGAUUUAGUGGGUGUAAAGGGAGCGUAGGCGGCGGUGCAAGGCUGAAGUGAAAGGCGGGGGCCCAACCCGCGGACUGCUUUGGAUACUGUAGGGCUGGAGUGCAGGAGAGGUAAGUGGAAUUCCUGGUGUAGCGGUGAAAUGCGUAGAGAUUAGGAGGAACACCAGUGGCGAAGGCGGCUUACUGGACUGUAACUGACGUUGAGGCUCGAAAGCGUGGGGAGCAAACAGGAUUAGAUACCCGAGUAGUC